rnacentral:rRNA from 1 species
GUUAAGCGACUAAGCGUACACGGUGGAUGCCCUGGCAGUCAGAGGCGAUGAAGGACGUGCUAAUCUGCGAUAAGCGUCGGUGAGGUGAUAUGAACCGUUAUAACCGGCGAUUUCCGAAUGGGGAAACCCAGUGUGUUUCGACACACUAUCAUUAACUGAAUCCAUAGGUUAAUGAGGCGAACCGGGGGAACUGAAACAUCUAAGUACCCCGAGGAAAAGAAAUCAACCGAGAUUCCCCCAGUAGCGGCGAGCGAACGGGGAGGAGCCCAGAGCCUGAAUCAGUGUGUGUGUUAGUGGAAGCGUCUGGAAAGGCGCGCGAUACAGGGUGACAGCCCCGUACACAAAAAUGCACAUAUUGUGAGCUCGAUGAGUAGGGCGGGACACGUGGUAUCCUGUCUGAAUAUGGGGGGACCAUCCUCCAAGGCUAAAUACUCCUGACUGACCGAUAGUGAACCAGUACCGUGAGGGAAAGGCGAAAAGAACCCCGGCGAGGGGAGUGAAAAAGAACCUGAAACCGUGUACGUACAAGCAGUGGGAGCCUCUUAAUGGGGUGACUGCGUACCUUUUGUAUAAUGGGUCAGCGACUUAUAUUCUGUAGCAAGGUUAACCGAAUAGGGGAGCCGAAGGGAAACCGAGUCUUAACUGGGCGUUAAGUUGCAGGGUAUAGACCCGAAACCCGGUGAUCUAGCCAUGGGCAGGUUGAAGGUUGGGUAACACUAACUGGAGGACCGAACCGACUAAUGUUGAAAAAUUAGCGGAUGACUUGUGGCUGGGGGUGAAAGGCCAAUCAAACCGGGAGAUAGCUGGUUCUCCCCGAAAGCUAUUUAGGUAGCGCCUCGUGAAUUCAUCUCCGGGGGUAGAGCACUGUUUCGGCAAGGGGGUCAUCCCGACUUACCAACCCGAUGCAAACUGCGAAUACCGGAGAAUGUUAUCACGGGAGACACACGGCGGGUGCUAACGUCCGUCGUGAAGAGGGAAACAACCCAGACCGCCAGCUAAGGUCCCAAAGUCAUGGUUAAGUGGGAAACGAUGUGGGAAGGCCCAGACAGCCAGGAUGUUGGCUUAGAAGCAGCCAUCAUUUAAAGAAAGCGUAAUAGCUCACUGGUCGAGUCGGCCUGCGCGGAAGAUGUAACGGGGCUAAACCAUGCACCGAAGCUGCGGCAGCGACGCUUAUGCGUUGUUGGGUAGGGGAGCGUUCUGUAAGCCUGUGAAGGUGGCCUGUGAGGGUUGCUGGAGGUAUCAGAAGUGCGAAUGCUGACAUAAGUAACGAUAAAGCGGGUGAAAAGCCCGCUCGCCGGAAGACCAAGGGUUCCUGUCCAACGUUAAUCGGGGCAGGGUGAGUCGACUCCUAAGGCGAGGCCGAAAGGCGUAGUCGAUGGGAAACAGGUUAAUAUUCCUGUACUUGGUGUUACUGCGAAGGGGGGACGGAGAAGGCUAUGUUGGCCGGGCGACGGUUGUCCCGGUUUAAGCGUGUAGGCUGGUUUUCCAGGCAAAUCCGGAAAACCAAGGCUGAGGCGUGAUGACGAGGCACUACGGUGCUGAAGUGACAAAUGCCCUGCUUCCAGGAAAAGCCUCUAAGCAUCAGGUAACAUCAAAUCGUACCCCAAACCGACACAGGUGGUCAGGUAGAGAAUACCAAGGCGCUUGAGAGAACUCGGGUGAAGGAACUAGGCAAAAUGGUGCCGUAACUUCGGGAGAAGGCACGCUGAUAUGUAGGUGAAGCGACUUGCUCGUGGAGCUGAAAUCAGUCGAAGAUACCAGCUGGCUGCAACUGUUUAUUAAAAACACAGCACUGUGCAAACACGAAAGUGGACGUAUACGGUGUGACGCCUGCCCGGUGCCGGAAGGUUAAUUGAUGGGGUUAGCGGUAACGCGAAGCUCUUGAUCGAAGCCCCGGUAAACGGCGGCCGUAACUAUAACGGUCCUAAGGUAGCGAAAUUCCUUGUCGGGUAAGUUCCGACCUGCACGAAUGGCGUAAUGAUGGCCAGGCUGUCUCCACCCGAGACUCAGUGAAAUUGAACUCGCUGUGAAGAUGCAGUGUACCCGCGGCAAGACGGAAAGACCCCGUGAACCUUUACUAUAGCUUGACACUGAACAUUGAGCCUUGAUGUGUAGGAUAGGUGGGAGGCUUUGAAGUGUGGACGCCAGUCUGCAUGGAGCCGACCUUGAAAUACCACCCUUUAAUGUUUGAUGUUCUAACGUUGGCCCCUGAUCGGGGUUGCGGACAGUGUCUGGUGGGUAGUUUGACUGGGGCGGUCUCCUCCUAAAGAGUAACGGAGGAGCACGAAGGUUGGCUAAUCCUGGUCGGACAUCAGGAGGUUAGUGCAAUGGCAUAAGCCAGCUUGACUGCGAGCGUGACGGCGCGAGCAGGUGCGAAAGCAGGUCAUAGUGAUCCGGUGGUUCUGAAUGGAAGGGCCAUCGCUCAACGGAUAAAAGGUACUCCGGGGAUAACAGGCUGAUACCGCCCAAGAGUUCAUAUCGACGGCGGUGUUUGGCACCUCGAUGUCGGCUCAUCACAUCCUGGGGCUGAAGUAGGUCCCAAGGGUAUGGCUGUUCGCCAUUUAAAGUGGUACGCGAGCUGGGUUUAGAACGUCGUGAGACAGUUCGGUCCCUAUCUGCCGUGGGCGCUGGAGAACUGAGGGGGGCUGCUCCUAGUACGAGAGGACCGGAGUGGACGCAUCACUGGUGUUCGGGUUGUCAUGCCAAUGGCACUGCCCGGUAGCUAAAUGCGGAAGAGAUAAGUGCUGAAAGCAUCUAAGCACGAAACUUGCCCCGAGAUGAGUUCUCCCUGAGACUUAGAGUCUCCUGAAGGAACGUUGAAGACGACGACGUUGAUAGGCCGGGUGUGUAAGCGCAGCGAUGCGUUGAGCUAACCGGUACUAAUGAACCGUGAGGCUUAACCUU